GAGGUGGCGGUCCGGGUGGGAGGUGUGUGCGCGCGCGUGUGCCGCGCUGUAGGGAGCUGCGGGUCUCACUGCCCGCUGUCAACGAGCUCAGCACCUCCGCGCGAUGGCUGGAGGAGACGUAUGGGACCAGCCCCGUGGGGCCGGCCGCGGCUGAGCCCCUCUGCCGCCUCCUGCGAGCAUGUCACCUCCAGCCUGCGAGGUCGCUUUCGCUAGCAGAGUCCCUGCCUCCGCCUUCUACAGCCGCAGCCGCUGCCUGGAGCAGUGGCCCCCGGACCCCCGCCCCUGAUCCGCGCCCAGACCCUGGUGCCAGAGGACCAUGGCUGGCCAGGGCGACUGCUGCGUCAAAGUGGCCGUCAGGAUCCGGCCCCAGCUAUCAAAGGAGAAGAUUGAAGGCUGUCACAUCUGUACCUCCGUUACCCCUGGAGAGCCCCAGGUCCUGCUGGGGAAGGACAAGGCCUUCACCUAUGACUUUGUCUUUGACCUGGACACCUGGCAGGAGCAAAUCUAUUCGACCUGUGUGAGCAAACUCAUCGAAGGCUGCUUUGAGGGCUAUAAUGCCACAGUACUAGCCUAUGGACAGACAGGGGCUGGGAAGACAUAUACUAUGGGCACCGGCUUUGACACAGUGACGUCAGAAGAAGAGCAGGGCAUCAUCCCAAGGGCCAUUGCACAUCUCUUCAGGGGCAUCGACGAACGCAAGCGGCGGGCACAGGAGCAGGGUGUGACCGGGCCUGAGUUCAAAGUCAGUGCCCAAUUCCUGGAGCUCUACAACGAAGAGAUCCUUGACCUGUUUGACAGCACCCGUGACCCCGAUGCCCGCCACCGCAGGUCCAACAUCAAGAUCCACGAGGAUGCCAGCGGUGGCAUCUAUACCACAGGUGUCACUUCUCGCCUGAUCAACUCCCAGGAGGAGCUGAUCCAGUGCCUGAAGCAGGGCGCCCUGUCACGCACCACAGCCAGCACCCAGAUGAAUGUACAGAGCUCCCGAUCCCAUGCCAUCUUCACCAUCCACCUGUGCCAGAUGCGCGUGUGUGCCCAGCCUGACCUGGUGAAUGAGACGGUGACUGGGCUUCCGGAUGGAGCCGCCCCUACAGGCACUGAGUAUGAGACACUCACCGCUAAGUUUCACUUCGUGGACUUGGCUGGCUCAGAGCGGCUGAAGCGGACAGGGGCCACCGGUGAACGGGCCAAAGAGGGCAUCUCCAUCAACUGUGGUCUGCUGGCCUUGGGCAAUGUGAUCAGCGCCUUGGGGGACCAGAGCAAGAAGGUCGUGCACGUGCCUUACAGGGACUCCAAGCUCACUCGGCUGCUCCAGGACUCUCUUGGAGGCAACAGCCAGACCAUCAUGAUCGCCUGUGUGAGCCCCUCGGAUCGGGACUUCAUGGAGACACUUAACACUCUCAAAUAUGCCAAUCGGGCUCGCAACAUCAAAAACAAAGUGGUGGUGAACCAGGAUAAGACCAGCCAGCAGAUCAGCGCCCUGCGAGCUGAGAUCGCACGCCUGCAGAUGGAGCUGAUGGAAUACAAAGCUGGCAAGCGAGUGAUUGGGGAGGAUGGCACGGAGGGCUACAGCGACCUGUUCCGGGAGAACGCCAUGCUACAGAAGGAGAAUGGGGCGCUGCGGCUCCGAGUGAAGGCCAUGCAGGAAGCCAUUGAUGCCAUCAACAACCGGGUCACACAACUCAUGAGCCAGGAGGCCAACCUGCUUCUGGCCAAGGCCGGUGAUGGCAAUGAGGCCAUUGGUGCUCUGAUCCAGAACUACAUCCGGGAGAUUGAGGAGCUACGAACAAAGCUCCUGGAGAGUGAGGCUAUGAAUGAGUCCCUCCGCAGAAGCCUCUCCCGGGCUUCCGCUCGGAAUCCCUACUCCCUGGGAGCAUCUCCAGCAGGUCCAGCCUUUGGCGGCAGCCCCGCCACCUCCAUAGAAGAUGCUUCUGAAGUGAUCCGCAGGGCUAAGCAAGACCUGGAGCGGCUGAAAAAGAAGGAGGUCAGGCAGCGGAGGAAGAGCAGCCCAGAGAAAGAAGCCUUCAAAAAGAGGGCAAAACUCCAGGCGGAAAACAGUGAGGAGACGGAUGAGAACGAGGCUGAGGAGGAGGAAGAAGAGCGAGAUGAAAGUGGCUGUGAGGAGGAGGAAGGGCGUGAGGAUGAGGAUGAAGACUCGGGCAGUGAAGAGAGCCUGGUAGACUCAGACUCCGACCCGGAAGAAAAGGAAGUAAACUUCCAGGCCGACCUGGCGGACCUGACAUGUGAGAUCGAGAUCAAGCAGAAGCUCAUCGAUGAGCUGGAGAACAGCCAGCGGCGGCUGCAGACGCUCAAGCACCAGUACGAGGAGAAGCUCAUUCUGCUGCAGAACAAGAUCCGGGAUACGCAGCUGGAGCGUGACCGCGUGCUCCAGAACCUCAGCACUAUGGAGUGCUACACGGAGGAGAAAGCCAACAAGAUAAAGGCGGAUUAUGAGAAGAGACUGCGGGAGAUGAACCGGGACCUGCAGAAGCUACAGGCUGCUCAGAAAGAGCACGCCAGGCUACUCAAAAACCAGUCUCGCUAUGAAAGGGAGCUGAAGAAGCUGCAAGCGGAGGUAGCUGAGAUGAAGAAGGCCAAGGUAGCCCUCAUGAAGCAAAUGCGUGAGGAGCAGCAGCGGCGGCGACUGGUGGAGACCAAGAGGAACCGGGAGAUUGCUCAGCUCAAGAAGGAGCAACGGAGGCAGGAGUUUCAGAUACGGGCCCUGGAAUCUCAGAAGCGCCAGCAGGAAAUAGUUCUGAGGAGAAAAACCCAGGAGGUUUCUGCACUGAGGCGCCUGGCAAAGCCCAUGUCUGAGCGAGUGGCCGGGCGUGUAGGAUUGAAGCCCCCCAAUAUGGAUUCGGGGGCUGAGGUGUCUGCCAGCACCACCUCGUCUGAGGCUGAGUCGGGAGCCCGCUCCGUCUCCAGCAUAGUGCGUCAGUGGAACCGAAAAAUCAACCACUUCCUGGGAGACCACCCUACCGCCACUGUCAAUGGCAGCCGCCCAGCCAGGAAAAAGUUCCAAAAGAAGGGAGCCAGCCAAAGCUUCAGUAAGGCUGCGAGACUCAAAUGGCAGUCCCUGGAACGGAGGAUCAUUGACAUUGUCAUGCAGAGAAUGACCAUCGUCAACCUGGAGGCUGAUAUGGAGCGUCUCAUAAAGAAAAGGGAGGAGCUCUUCCUCCUCCAGGAGGCACUGCGGAGGAAGCGGGAGCGCCUGCAGGCUGAGAGCCCAGAGGAGGAGAAGGGGCUACAGGAGCUGGCUGAGGAGAUCGACGUGUUGGCAGCCAAUAUUGACUACAUCAACGACAGCAUCACUGACUGCCAAGCCACCAUCGUGCAGCUGGAGGAGACCAAGGAGGAGCUGGACUCAACAGACACAUCAGUGGUCAUUAGCUCCUGCUCUCUGGCUGAAGCCCGCCUACUGCUAGACAACUUCCUCAAGGCGUCCAUUGACAAGGGACUUCAAGUAGCACAGAAGGAAGCCCAGAUCCGGCUGCUAGAAGGACGACUAAGACAGACAGACAUGACAGGCUCUUCCCAGAACCACCUGCUCCUAGACGCUUUGCGUGAGAAGGCCGAGGCGCACCCCGAGCUGCAGGCCCUCAUCUACAAUGUGCAACAUGAGAACGGCUAUGCAAGCACCGAUGAGGAAGUUUCGGAGUUCUCUGAGGGGAGCUUUUCCCAGUCAUUCACCAUGAAAGGCUCCACCAGCCACGAUGACUUCAAGUUCAAGGGUGAACCCAAGCUGUCUGCGCAGAUGAAGGCUGUGUCUGCGGAGUGCCUAGGACCCCCACUGGACAGCUCCACCAAGAACAUCACCAAGUCCCUGGCCUCCCUUGUUGAGAUCAAAGAGGAUGGGGUGGGCUUCUCUAUCCGUGACCCCUACUACCGGGACAAGGUCUCUCGCACCGUCAGCCUGCCCACCAGGGGCAGCACUUUCCCUCGGCAAUCUCGAGGUGCCACGGACACAUCCCCUCUGACCCGAAGGAAGUCUUAUGACCGAGGGCAGCCCAUCAGAUCCACAGACAUGGGAUUCACACCUCCCUCAUCACCUCCCACGCGGCCCCGCAACGACCGCAACGUCUUCUCUCGUCUCACCAGCAAUCAGAGCCAGGGCUCAGCACUGGACAAGUCUGAUGACAGCGACUCCUCUUUGUCGGAGGUCCUGAGGGGCAUCAUCACCCCCAUUGGCGGAGCCAAGGGAGCGCGGACGGCCCCGCUGCAGUGCGUCUCCAUGGCCGAGGGUCACACCAAGCCCAUCCUCUGCCUGGAUGCCACCGAUGAGCUGCUUUUCACAGGAUCCAAAGACCGUAGCUGCAAGAUGUGGAACCUGGUGACGGGGCAGGAGAUUGCAGCUCUCAAGGGCCACCCCAACAAUGUGGUUUCUAUCAAAUACUGCAGCCACUCGGGGCUGGUGUUCUCUGUGUCCAGCUCCUACAUCAAGGUGUGGGAUAUCCGGGACUCAGCCAAGUGCAUUCGGACACUCACGUCCUCAGGCCAGGUGAUCUCAGGAGAUGCCUGCAUAGCCACCUCCACCCGCGCCAUCACCAGUGCCCAGGGGGAACAUCAGAUCAACCAGAUGGCCCUCAGCCCCUCAGGCUCCAUGCUAUACGUUGCCUCUGGCAAUGCCGUCCGCAUCUGGGAGCUCAACAGGUUCCAGCCCAUUGGCAAACUGACUGGCCACAUUGGCCCAGUGAUGUGCCUGACAGUCACCCAGACUUCAAACCAGCAUGACCUCGUGGUGACGGGCUCCAAGGACCACUAUGUGAAGAUGUUUCAGCUCGGUGACUGUGUGACAGGCACCAUUGGCCCAACCCACAACUUUGAGCCCCCUCACUAUGAUGGUAUCGAAUGCCUAGCCAUCCAAGGAGACAUACUGUUUAGUGGCUCCAGAGACAAUGGCAUCAAGAAGUGGGACCUGGACCAGCAGGAGCUCAUCCAGCAAAUCCCCAACGCUCACAAGGACUGGGUGUGCGCCCUGGCCUUUGUACCCGGCCGGCCCAUGCUGCUGAGCGCCUGCCGGGCCGGCUUCAUCAAGGUCUGGAAUGUGGACAACUUCACACCCAUUGGUGAGAUCAAGGGCCACGACAGCCCCAUCAAUGCCAUCUGCACCAACAGCAAGCACAUCUUCACGGCCUCCAGUGACUGCCGGGUAAAGCUGUGGAAUUACGUCCCUGGACUCACCCCCUGCCUUCCUCGACGAGUCCUGGCCAUAAAGGGCCGCGCCACCACCCUGCCCUGACCCUCCCCUUCCUCUCUCACUCUUCCCCUCUUGCCAUUUCCUGUCUUUCCCCUCCACCUCGAUCUGAGCUGCUUCUUCACGUGACCUGACAGUGAAGUUCUGGAGCAUACGGCGACUACCAGUGGCCCACCCUUGAAGUUAGAACUAAAGGUGGGGAGACCGGCAGAUCAGACCCAGCAGCCUACCCAGCACUGAAGGAAGCUGUGGCCCGACCUUACCAGACCAGCCAGGUUCACCGGAGUACAGAGGGUGUGGCUCCUCUCUGCUUCCUCCACCACCCCCUCUGUCCCUCCCCUGCCUCCUGAGAAAGACGAGGUGGAGGAGGGACACAAGCUGUGAAGCCAAAGGGCACGAUUCCCCAGCCGCUGCCCCACCUGUUCCCUGCCAUCCUUUCCACCGGCCACAUCGUCUCCUGCUGAGCCAGCCCUGCCCCUCCCCCAGGCCCUCAGCCUCGGGUGAGACAGCAGGGUGAAGCAGGGAGAAGCCCCCAUCUAUCUUCCAGUGAACUAGCCUCCUCUGUGUCUCCUAGCCCCACCUCCGGAGCCGCUUCACCUGCCUCUGAGCCCACCAAGGUAGUUCUCAGGUAACCAUGGAAACCAGAUGUAAGCAGCUGAGUCCCGCCGGCUCACCCACAGCCAAUCCCAGUGGGGCCCGGCCCAGUCUAUCCGUGAAGUUCUCUUCUGCUGGGGCCUCAGUGGAGCUGCUUAAACAGUUCCUUUGGGGAGAAAGAAGGUCAGCAGCACUACAGUCAUUUAAUAUAUUGAUCUUUAUUUUUGUGCUCUGCUUGUUUGCCUCCUGGAAACUGACUUGAAGUUUCUUCCCAUUCUUCCCUCC